rnacentral:lncRNA from 1 species
AGAAUAUAUAUAUAUAUAUAUUAAGACAUAAAAGAGGAGGAGAUUAUUAAUAAUCGCCACUAUAUAUGGGCCAGAUCACUUCCCAACAAGUAUCUGUAUUUUAAUAUUUGCAGUAUAAUAAUUAAUUAUUCCUACGUUCUGAUUUCGAUAUCUUACUGCAACCACCAAUAACAGCUUGAAAAUUAUUUUUUCCACAUUCUGCAUUUGUAUAUCUCUGUACGAUACACUGUUAUGUGCCUCCUAGCUAUUUCAUCUCCUAUAUCAAUCUUUUAUCACCCCGUGGAUUGUAGACCU